CCUACGGGGGGCAGCAGUAGGGAAUAUUGCUCAAUGGGGGAAACCCUGAAGCAGCAACGCCGCGUGGAGGAUGAAGGUUUUCGGAUUGUAAACUCCUUUUGUUAGAGAAGAUAAUGACGGUAUCUAACGAAUAAGCACCGGCUAACUCCGUGCCAGCAGCCGCGGUAAUACGGAGGGGGCAAGCGUUAUCCGGAAUCACUGGGCGUAAAGAGAGCGUAGGCGGGAUAGCAAGUCAGAUGUGAAAUCCUACGGCUUAACCAGAGAACUGCAUUUGAAACUGUUAGUCUUGAGUAUGGGAGAGGUAGGUGGAAUUCUUGGUGUAGGGGUAAAAUGCGUAGAGAUCAAGAGGAAUACUCAUUGCGAAGGCGACCUGCUAGAACAUAACUGACGCUGAUGCGCGAAAGCGUGGGGAGCAAACAGGAUUAGAUACCCGUGUAGUC
rnacentral:rRNA from 1 species